ACGCUCGACACCUACGGGAGGCGGCAGUAGGGAAUCUUCCACAAUGGGCGCAAGCCUGAUGGAGCAACACCGCGUGAGUGAAGAAGGGUUUCGGCUCGUAAAGCUCUGUUGUUGGAGAAGAACGUGCGUGAGAGUAACUGUUCACGCAGUGACGGUAUCCAACCAGAAAGUCACGGCUAACUACGUGCCAGCAGCAGAGUAUCNGNGGCGGCGUGGACGAAGGC
rnacentral:rRNA from 1 species